GUAGGGUGCAAGCGUUAUCCGGAAUCAUUGGGCGUAAAGAGCUCGUAGGCGGUUCAGCAAGUCGGCUGUGAAAUCCCGAGGCUUAACCUCGGAACUGCAGUCGAUACUGCUGUGACUAGAGUCCGGUAGAGGAGAAUGGAAUUCCCGGUGUAGCGGGGAAAUGCGCAGAUAUCGGGAGGAACACCAGUAGCGAAGGCGGUUCUCUGGGCCGGUACUGACGCUGAGGAGCGAAAGCGUGGGUAGCAAACAGGAUUAGAUACCCUGGUAGUCCACGCCGUAAACGUUGGACACUAGGUGUGGCGUUCCGACCAACGGGUGCCCGUGCCGAAGCUAACGCAUUAAGUGUCCCCGCCUGGGGAGUACGGCCGCAAGGCUA
rnacentral:rRNA from 1 species